rnacentral:misc_RNA from 1 species
AAAAACUACACAUUUUUCCCCUUCUUUGAGCCUUUAUCUUCUCCACAGAGAGCAAAUUUACAACCGCCAUCGCAAAAUUUCGAGGAAAUUUCAGGUCGAGUAUGAAGAAGAGUACGGUGUCGCCGACGUCUGUACUAUUCGUUGUUGCCGCAAUACUAAUUUCUUACUACUCCGAUGUCUCGUCGGCAAAAUCAGAUUCAGACCCAACGCCGGCUCCAUGGCCUCAUCAAUUCCACUCGAUACUGUUCGUCAAUUUCAGCGGAUCUCUAAGCCUAAUCGAUCUCUGGUACGAUUGGACCAAUGGCCGCAAUUUCAACAUCAUACAAGACCAGCUAGGUGAGCUUCUCUAUGAUCUCGAAUGGAACAAUGGCACUGUGUUCCGCUACACUCUAGACGAUGGUAAGAAGAAAUGCAGUUCAGCGCUGGUUGAUGUUGGUAUUCUUCGACCAAAUUGGCUUGACGGAGCUACUUAUCUUGGUCAACAGUUCAUCGAUGGAUUUCACUGUAAUGUAUGGCAGAAGGUGGAUUUCAUUUGGUAUUAUGAAGACAUCGUCACAAAGAGACCCGUCCAUUGGGUUUUCUAUACUGGAAGGUCUAUUCACGUAAUGACUUUCGAAGUGGGAGCAGUUCUCGAGGACAUAAAAUGGCAAGCCCCUGUAUAUUGUUUCGACAAAAAACAGGUUCAAGAUCACCCUGCAUCAGACAACGAUAUUCUGGAAAUUGGCUCGAAAGGUACUUUAAGAGAGUUCAUAUAGCCGCGCAAUUUACGUAAAUAGCUCAGCUAGAUGUUCUUAGUAAUGUAAAAGUAUUUGCCUUGUCUUGCUGCCUCUGCAUCAGUUUCAUCUCCUUAUGUAUUGAAAAACAGUUGAUGCCAUCAGUGUUGUGUAUUGCAAUAACCUAUGUUGCUCGAACUGUUCAUAAAUGGUGAUGGGGUAUGUCGGAUCCUCCAACAGUAGUACAGUUUUAGAGGAUCUUGCACAUAUGUGACAACAUUUUUGGAAAGUUCGAGCAACAUAGAUAAUAACCAGUCAUUUAUUCGGCGGGAAAUAAAGUAAAGGGAUAGUUGAAAG